rnacentral:rRNA from 1 species
GACGAACGCUGGCGGCGUGCUUAACACAUGCAAGUCGAACGGUGAUGCUCCAGCUUGCUGGAGUGGAUCAGUGGCGAACGGGUGAGUAACACGUGAGCAACCUGCCCCAGACUCUGGAAUAAGCGCUGGAAACGGCGUCUAAUACUGGAUACGAAACUGGCCCGCAUGGGCAUGGUUUGGAAAGUUUUUCGGUUUGGGAUGGGCUCGCGGCCUAUCAGCUUGUUGGUGAGGUAAUGGCUCACCAAGGCGACGACGGGUAGCCGGCCUGAGAGGGCGACCGGCGACACUGGGACUGAGACACGGCCCAGACUCCUACGGGAGGCAGCAGUGGGGAAUAUUGCACAAUGGGCGAAAGCCUGAUGCAGCGACGCCGCGUGAGGGAUGACGGCCUUCGGGUUGUAAACCUCUUUCAGCAGGGAAGAAGCGAAAGUGACGGUACCUGCAGAAGAAGCACCGGCUAACUACGUG